AGCGAACGCUGGCGGCAGGCUUAUCACAUGCAAGUCGAGCGGGCACUUUCGGGUGUCAGCGGCGGACGGGUGAGUAACGCGUGGGAACGUGCCCUCUGGUUCGGAAUAACUCAGGGAAACUUGAGCUAAUACCGGAUACGCCCUUUUGGGGAAAGGCUUGCUGCCGGAGGAUCGGCCCGCGUCUGAUUAGCUAGUUGGUGAGGUAACGGCUCACCAAGGCGACGAUCAGUAGCUGGUCUGAGAGGAUGAUCAGCCACACUGGGACUGAGACACGGCCCAGACUCCUACGGGAGGCAGAAGUGGGGAAUAUUGGACAAUGGGCGCAAGCCUGAUCCAGCCAUGCCGCGUGAGUGAUGAAGGCCUUAGGGUUGUAAAGCUCUUUUAUCCGGGACGAUAAUGACGGUACCGGAGGAAUAAGCCCCGGCUAACUUCGUG
rnacentral:rRNA from 1 species